CCCGCUGAACUUAAGCAUAUCAAUAAGCGGAGGAAAAGAAACUAACAAGGAUUCCCCUAGUAACUGCGAGUGAAGCGGGAAAAGCUCAAAUUUAAAAUCUGGCGGUCCUUGUGGCUGUCCGAGUUGUAAUUUAGAGAAGUGUUAUCCGCGCUGGACCGUGUACAAGUCUCCUGGAAUGGAGCGUCAUAGAGGGUGAGAAUCCCGUCUUUGACACGGACUGCCAGGGCAUUGUGAUACGCUUUCAAAGAGUCGAGUUGUUUGGGAAUGCAGCUCAAAAUGGGUGGUAAAUUCCAUCUAAAGCUAAAUAUUGGGGAGAGACCGAUAGCGAACAAGUACCGUGAGGGAAAGAUGAAAAGAACUUUGGAAAGAGAGUUAAACAGUACGUGAAAUUGCUGAAAGGGAAACGCUUGAAGUCAGUCGCGUCGCUCAGGACUCAGCCUUGCUUUUGCUUGGUGUACUUCCUGUUCGAUGGGUCAGCAUCAAUUUUGGUCGGUGGAUAAAGGCUCAGAGAAUGUGGCAUCUUCGGGUGUGUUAUAGCUCUGGGUUGUAUACAUCGGCUGGGAUUGAGGAACUCAGCACGCCGCAAGGCCGGGUACCUGUACCACGUACGUGCUUAGGAUGCUGGCAUAAUGGCUUUAAUCGACCCGUCUUGAAACACGG
rnacentral:rRNA from 1 species